GAUCGUCGGUCCACUGCCGUCCGAAAUGAAGAAAUUUUGUGUCGUUAUCAAACGAAUUUCUAUUUUUAGAGUAGAAAUUUUGUGUCGUUAUCAAACGGUUAUUUUUGCUUAGAAACUCUUCUAGAAAUAAAAAUAGAAAAAUCUAUUUCUGUUUUAGAAACUAUUUCUGGAACAAAAUGGUUGUCAUGCACCCCCUUAAAUGCACUUGAGAUUGGAAUUCUUUGUUAGCGGGGUCCCUCCCUUUUUCCACCACACAUGUCACUUUUGUUGGGCUGGCAAGAAUCAAUGGUACCAUGGAAACUUCCCAAGGGGAUGCUUUUUGGUUUUUCCGGUACUAGUAUCUGGAAAGGGUUCUCUUUUGUUUGAUUGUGCAAUUUGGCUGGUCUAUUAUUUGAAGGUCCACUCUAGAUUCAAGCUUGCACUGCAGUAACUAGCUAACUUGUAAUAUGCUUGGGUACCUUGCGCCUUAUUGAAGCAUUUGGGAUGAGCUGAUAGGUUUCUCGUCAGUAGUUUGGUUAAUUAUAGGCAAUAUAUGUCUCUUCGACCUCGUGUGGUCAUAUAUAGAAGAUUCGUUGCUUUUACAUUUUCUGUGGAAAAUUGUUGUAGUUCCAUUUCAAAUUUGCC
rnacentral:lncRNA from 1 species